AAUCUUCAUUUUUGGUUUACAAGA
rnacentral:piRNA from 1 species